rnacentral:misc_RNA from 1 species
GAUGAAGAACGUAGCGAAAUGCGAUAAGUAAUGUGAAUUGCAGAAUUCAGUGAAUCAUCGAAUCUUUGAACGCACCUUGCGCCCCUUGGUAUUCCGAGGGGCAUGCCUGUUUGAGUGUCAUUAAAUUCUCAAACUCACUUUGGUUUCUUUCCAAUUGUGAUGUUUGGAUUGUUGGGGGCUGCUGGCCUUGACAGGUCGGCUCCUCUUAAAUGCAUUAGCAGGACUUCUCAUUGCCUCUGCGCAUGAUGUGAUAAUUGUCACUCAUCAAUAGCACGCAUGAAUAGAGUCCAGCUCUCUAAUCGUCCGCAAGGACAAUUUGACAAUUUGACCUCAAAUCAGGUAGGACUACCCGCUGAACUUAAGCAUAUCAAUAAGCGGAGGA